UUCAGAUUCAGAUUUUUAUUUUCGUCGUGCAUGAAAUAUUGUACAAACAAAAUUGAUCAAAAUAUAUAACAAAACAUCAAUUAAAAUAUACUGGAAUACAAUAUUUGCGCAAUUGACGAGGAACCGCGAGAGACUAAUAAAGUCAUCGUGUCAGCGACACCGUGUUUGCUAAGAUAAGCAGAAGACGUCAAUAACAUGAAAUAAUUAAUUUUUUAAAAUAGAGUGAAUACAAUUUGGGAAAUACAAAUCAAAACGAGAGAAUUAGUAAAGCGAGCAGUCGAAUAACAUGAAAUGAAAUAAACAAAACGAGAGAAUCAGUCAAGCGAAUAGAAUUGGAUAAAUCAUUUGCGCGUAUUAAUGUCAUGCUCAAAUGAGCACAGGAACAACAAAGAAAAUUGAUGAAUAACAUGACGCGGCAGAGCUGUGACAACUCGAGGGGAAUUCCCAACAACCACAAAAGGAAAAUACAAUAGUAGUUUACAAAUCUUGGUAUUCAUCUUAUCGACAGUCCAGCAGUCAGAGAAACAGUCCUAACAGCUCGAAAAUUACUGACAAAUGUAAGCAUCAAGUGUUCACUCUGGACUGAAGAACACCGGGGGACUUGUCACUAUCUAGAAGGUUGGUAUCAUCAGCGAACAAUUUUGAGAAUAAUGUUGAGCUGUGAGCAAGGUCAUUGAUGUAGAUUAAAAAAAAGAGUCGGGCCCAAACAAGACCCCUGGGGGACCCCGUGGGUCACAGGCAAAGAAGGGGAACAAUGUGAGCCUAUUUGAACAUAUUGCGUUCUAUUGGUUAAGUAAUUAGCCAGGAGUUGGUUUGGUACUCCUCUAAUUCCAUAAUGCCACAGCUUGUAUAUUAAAAUUUGAUGAUUGACGGUAUCAAAAGCUUUCUUGAGAUCUAAAAAUGUUGCACUGACAUAUUCCUUCUUCUCUAAUUUUUCGUAGAUAUGAGAUAUUGUAUCUAGAAUCGCAUGUGAAGUAGAAUGAUUGCUUUGAAAACCGAACUGUGAUUUAUUUAUUACAUUGUGCUUUGUAAAAAAGUUCAUUAACCUUCUAUUGAUUAGGCGCUCGAAUACUUUGUCAAUAGCGGAUAGUAUCGAAAUAGGUCUAUAAUUUGAUAUUUGUUUUG